CGCACAUCCUUAACUAGGGCCUGUCAGGACUAACCCAUUUCGUCAUGUAUUCCUACUUAGGUCUUCACCAAAAGCCCAAGCCUCAUCCUUUAUCUCAUAACCCAAGUGCUUUGUACAUCCUCUAAUCUGAUCCAGUUCCUCUCCCUUCUCCUUCCACCUAAACCCAGAUUUUCACAUGGCUGCUUCCCUCUCAUUGUUCAGGUCUCACAUCAAAUAGCAUCUUCUCAAAGGCCUGUGCUCACUCUGCCAUCUAAGUAGGUUUUAUGUUACGCUCUAGUAUAGCACUAGUUACUUCAUUCACACCACUGUCACAAGUUGUAACUAUAAUUCAGUUUUUGGUUUACUUGUGUAGUACUCUUUGUUUACUUGUUUAUUAUCUAUCUUUCCAAAUUAGACAAUAAGGUCCAUAAAGUCAGCCAUAAUAUUCACGUUGCUUACCACUCUUACCCAAUGCCCAAGUCAGGCUCUAGCAUGGGCAUGUGCUCAGUUAAUCUAUGUUAGAUGAAGAAAACCUACUAAAGAAAUAAAUAGCUAACCAAAAAUUUAUGUAAGCAGAAACAUGGACUUUGUUCCAUUUCCAUGCUGCCACCUUCAAGCAGGUGAACACCAUCUCUUAAUUGAUUGGUUGAAACAACUUUUAACUGGUUGCCCAGCUUCUCCUGCUUCACCACUUCCUUCCCCUCUGAAUCUGCUCUCCACGUAGUAACAAAACUGAUUUAUAAAAAGUAAAUUUGAAAAAAAAUACGUAAUUUGAGACGUCUGCUUCCAAGAAAGAAAAAGUAGAUCUGCUUUAAGUACAACCAAAAACCCUGGACACUAUGCAUAAACAAACAUAGGAAGACUGAAAAGUGGAGAGAAGGCAAAACAAGCCAGGGACGUGGAGACCCAAGGAAUGACAGGGUGGUAAGGUUCCUGGGUUUCUUUUUGCCUCAUAUAUCCCAGAUUUGGAGUUGAAGAAGCUGGCAACCCAGAAACGCCAACUGACAGAAGCAAAAAGAGCCCAAACUAAACCCAUAUAGCCUUGGGGGUUUGAGAGGGAGAAGUACAGUUGGAAAUCAGAAAGGAAGGAGGAGCCAGAGAGGGAGAGUUUGUUAGUGAGGAGGAACAGCAUGCCCUGCAUUUUCCCUUUCUCUCCUUUACAGUCCAACUCACCUGCUCCUCUUCCUCCGGACUACGAGCUUUAGUAGUCUACACUCCAUGCCAAUUCUGACAGCAUCACCACCUGUCCCAACUCCACCACCAUCAGACAGGCACUGACGUCAGAAGAAAUCUGGAGAUUCCCUGCUGGGAGAACCAUCAGAGAAACUGGAACACUUUUGUAUUAUUGAUUUAAAUGCCUAUCUCUACUUAACCGUAGACUGAAGUCAUUUAACCCCAGCAUCUGCCAGAGGCUGUGCCAGUCAGUGGAGAGGAAGAAAAGACGUCGUCUCUGCCUUACAGCAGACGUACAGGAAUAACCACAUCCAGUGGGAGCAAGGCCAAAGCAGAAGCCUGCAGAGCGGACUGUGAGGACGAGCUGGAGGGGGAUGCAGACAAGCUUUUGGAGAGGCGGUCACCUAGAGCUGAGCCUUGGAAGGGGGAUGAGAGAAGCAGCAGAUUCCAGGCAAAAGCAACAACCAAUACUAGCAACAGGAAAAAACAGCUCAGUAUGGAAAAUAAUUGACAUGGCUAGACUUUGCGAUUCAUUCCAUGUGAUGGCUACUCAAUAAACUGCUGGUUAAUUGAUUACCUAGCUAAUCAAUCUGGAGGAAACAGGCUAUAAAAACAGACAAAAGUCAGUUCACGAAGGGGUUCAUAGGCCUACUCAAAGAAUUUAGAUUUUAUUCUCUAAACUAGGAGUUGAAAAUGCAAAUAUCUAUAGGGAUCUUAUAAGAAAUGUGAAUAAGUAAGGUGGGCCAGGUGUAAAAGAAAUAGUAAUUAUGAGGGUUAUACACGAAGUACCUCCUCCAGGUACCAUGUAUGGUACUGUCAACACAUAGAUGUCUAAUAUAUGAUCCUGGCCCUUAGACUGCACACAUAAGUAAGUACUCACAAUAUAACGUGAUGAUUGCCCCCAUUCAUGUACCAAAUACAGUGGGACCAUAGAGGAGGGCCUUACUUAAUUCAAUCUCAGGAAAUCAGGAAGGUGUUACUGAUGAAAUUAUAUUUGAGAUGGACUUGAGGGAUGAGAAGGAGCUCAUCUCUCUUUUCCAGCUACCCCUGAACUUCCUUCAAUCCAAUCAGGUUGGUUUCCCCACUGUCCCACAACACCCCACUCUCGGCUAUGUCCUCUCAAGUCUUUGACUUUGCCUAGUGUGCCCUGCCGCUCUCCCUUAAUUAUGCAAUUCCUACUAACUCUUAAAGGCACAAUGCAGGCCUUCCUCAUGCACAAAAUCCAUGAAGACUUCCCAGGUAUCAAAUCUUCAUUGGUCUAAGAGGCAAGACGCUAUUGGGAGGCUGGAAGACCUUUAGGACACAACAGAGUGCAGAGGCGCUCAGAGAAGGGUGUCUCAUUGUGUGUGGUGAGAAGCUUACUAGUUUGGGAGUCAAGGACUCACUGGCUCUCUGAUUACAGGCAGAUGUUUUAGCCUCUGUUUUCCUCAGUGUCUUAACUCUAAAGUGGAGGCUGAUCCUCAUGAUCAUUUUGGUCCCCUUCAGUUCUAAGAUUAUAACUGUGAUUUUGUGAAGGAAUUUGUUCUCAUUGUUAUACUUCCAGUAGGAUUUCCACACACACUUUCAAAAUUGUCCUUAUGUAACAUGACGAGUGGAAAACCACUAAUCAGUGGCAGCAGUAUUGAAGAGAGUCUUCUCUGUGCCGUUCCAAAUGCCAUCUACUUCCUCCCUGGAUUUAGGAAUUGCAUAGUCACACGUUCACUGAAAUAAAGUUGGCUGUCCUGUUGCCCUGUUACUACUUUGGUCACCUCCUGUUAUCCUAAGAAUAGAUCACUUAUGGUUCUUUCUUUGGACUCUUACAAUUUCACGGCGGUGAGAAAAUAGAGCACAGGUGGAAUACAAAUCCUGGAAUAUCAAGAUUACAGAAAAACUACCUAUGGAAAACAAGAUACAUGAGUUAAGGAAUCUAUGAAACUAUACCAAAAUAAUAAUUAGAAUGAGUUGUUUUUUAUUUUAUCUUAGUUAUUAUAAAUUAUUGAGAAAAAUCAUUUGCAUUUUAUCAGCUUUUAUUAUACAAAUUCAGUCUGCCUCAUGCCAACUCGCUGUAUUAGUUGUACUUUUGGUUAUAAGCAAAAGAACCAACUCUGGCCAGAUUUAAGAAAACGGCAAGUCUAUUGAAAGAACACUAGGGUAUCGCAUGAACCACAAGGAAAAG
rnacentral:lncRNA from 1 species